CAUCAGGUCCAAAACGACAGACACACAGACCUCCAUCUCCAGUGCCCAGCUGUGUGUCUAUGAAGAGUGACCAGUCCAGGGAUGACUCACCCAAUUUCAGCAGUAAACCAGUUCCAUCAGGUCUAAAACGACAGACACACAGACCUCCAUCUCCAGUGCCCAGCUG